rnacentral:rRNA from 1 species
AUUCCUACGGGAGGCAGCAGUGAGGAAUAUUGGUCAAUGGGCGAGAGCCUGAACCAGCCAAGUCGCGUGAGGGAAGACGGUCCUACGGAUUGUAAACCUCUUUUGUCGGGGAGUAAUAGGCGGGACGUGUCCUGCUGUGAGAGUACCCGAAGAAAAAGCAUCGGCUAACUCCGUGCCAGCAGCCGCGGUAAUACGGAGGAUG